rnacentral:rRNA from 1 species
GACAGAGGAGCCAAGCGUUGUCCGGACUGACUGGGCGUAAAGCGCCCGCAGGCGCCGUGCACGUGGGGUGUGAAAGCUCGCGGCUUAACUGCGAGAGGCCAUCCCCAUACGGCGCGGCUCGGAGCCGUCCAGAGGCCGGUGGAAUUGCCGGUGUAGUGGUGAAAUGCGUAGAGAUCGGCAGGAACACCCAGGGGGAACCAGCCGGCUGGGGACG